AUGCCCAGGGCAAGACAGUGGGAUUAUGACGGGUAUUAUUGGGACCACAAAGUGUUUGGUCCUGGCACCCUGCUCAGGGUUACAGAUAAAAAUCCUGAUGAAGACGUUUUCCCCAAGCCCACAAUUUUUCUUCCUUCAAAAGCUGAAGUAAAACACCAUAACGUUGGAACAUAUCUUUGUCUUCUUGAGGACUUUUUCCCUGAUGUUAUCGAGAUAGAUUGGAAAGAAAAGAAUGGUAAAACAGUUCUGGAGUCCCAGAAGGGAAACACCAUGAAGACUAAGGACACAUACAUGAAAUACACCUGGCUGACUGUGCCGAAAAAGUCAAUGGAUAGAGAACACAAAUGUAUCGUCAAAUACGAGAGUAAUAAAGGAGAAGUGACUCAAGAGAUACUUUUUCCUUCAGUAAACAAAGGUUUGGAGGAGGCAAAAGGAUCUGAAGUGGACCCCCCGGGGCAUUCAGAGAUAAGGCAAAAGCCUGGGCUGGUAACCGUGAGCCCUCUGGGUUCUCUGUCCUCCUCACCGGUUUCAUGGGCUGCAGAGCUCGCUGCUAUUAACUACACAAAAGCUUCUCUGAUAGAUGAAAAUGACCCCCUGCAGCUGCAGCUCAUGAACACCUCUGCCUACUACACCUACGUCCUCCUCCUGGUCAAGAGCGUGGUCUACUCCAUCAUCAUCGCCGUUGUUCUGCUUGGGAGAGCAGUGCUCCAUGACAACGGGAAGAAUUCCUAACCCAUGGUGGCACCAAAGGACCAUUUUCCUCCAUUGGUAUUGUUGAUAAAACUGCUGAAGAUCUAGAGUAGUUUGUUUUCUAGGAUUGGGUUAUUUCACUUCACGUGUCUUUUCCUAUUGGGUCAUUAUUGCAGAAUGGGUUUACAAACCACUGGGCAAACAGGAAAUGUCACUCUGCACCAAGAACACAUUCUGCUAUGACUUAUGGAUGGGGCGGGGGCAUUCAUGGGGGCUUCAGCCCCGCUUUCUCCUUAUGGUCCACUGGCUCCUCAGCCACCCAGCACCUUAGCCUCUGCCUACAGCCAGCGUGCAGCUUCCUUAGCUUUCCCUGGGGCUCUUUAGCCACAUCCCUGCCUGGAGGCAGUGUUCUGCCCACCUGUAAGCCCUUUUCCUUGCUACCUGAAUGUUGUGCUGAGUCUCAUAAUAGGCACAAUAAAAAUAGUCAAACAUCUA